UACGUAGGGUCCGAGCGUUGUCCGGAAUUACUGGGCGUAAAGAGCUCGUAGGUGGUUUGUCGCGUUGUUCGUGAAAACUCACAGCUCAACUGUGGGCGUGCGGGCGAUACGGGCAGACGUAGAGUACUGCAGGGGAGACUGGAAUUCCUGGUGUAGCGGUGGAAUGCGCAGAUAUCAGGAGGAACACCGGUGGCGAAGGCGGGUCUCUGGGCAGUAACUGACGCUGAGGAGCGAAAGCGUGGGAGCGAACAGG
rnacentral:rRNA from 1 species